AGUGAACGCUGGCGGUAGGCCCAACACAUGCAAGUCGGACGGCAGCACAGUAAGAGCUUGCUCUUACGGGUGGCGAGUGGCGGACGGGUGAGGAAUACAUCGGAAUCUACUUUUUCGUGGGGGAUAACGUAGGGAAACUUACGCUAAUACCGCAUACGACCUACGGGUGAAAGCAGGGGAUCUUCGGACCUUGCGCGAUUGAAUGAGCCGAUGUCGGAUUAGCUAGUUGGCGGGGUAAAGGCCCACCAAGGCGACGAUCCGUAGCUGGUCUGAGAGGAUGAUCAGCCACACUGGAACUGAGACACGGUCCAGACUCCUACGGGAGGCAGCAGUGGGGAAUAUUGGACAAUGGGCGCAAGCCUGAUCCAGCCAUACCGCGUGGGUGAAGAAGGCCUUCGGGUUGUAAAGCCCUUUUGUUGGGAAAGAAAAGCAGCAGGUUAAUACCCCGCUGUUCUGACGGUACCCAAAGAAUAAGCACCGGCUAACUUCGUG
rnacentral:rRNA from 1 species